rnacentral:lncRNA from 1 species
ACCAAUGUAUUGAUAGGUAGUCGUUUAUGGCUAGUGUUUGUUGGUAAAUCUUAACGAUCAAGCUGUUGAAUGAUUCAUUAUUGGUGGUUGUUUUUUUUUGCUGACUAAUCAGUGAUGAAGAGUGCCCACCCGAAGUAUCCACACCUGUUUUUUUACACCUGGCGCGACACCUGAGUACCACACUUCAUCCCGACAGAAUCCCCGGCCGAUUAUGACGAAGGGACAGUGUGCAACACCUUUUUGUAUCGAUUAAUACGUGCAGGGG